CCUACGGGUGGCAGCAGUCGGGAAUAUUGCGCAAUGGAGGAAACUCUGACGCAGUGACGUCGCGUGCAGGAAGACGGUUCUCGGAUUGUAAAAUGCUUUAGACAGGGGAGAAAAAAGACAGUACCUGUAGAAUAUGUUUCGGCUAACUACGUGCGAACAGCCGCGGUAAUACGUAGGGAGCGAGCGUUAUCCGGAUUUAUUGGGUGUAAAGGGAGCGUAGACGGAGAAGCAAGUCAGUUGUGAAAUUCUACGGCUUAACCGGGGAACUGCAGCUAAAACUACCAACCUUGAGUACAGGAGAGGAAAGCGGAAUUCGUGGUGUAGCGGUGAAAUGCUUAGAUAUCAGGAGGAACUCCAGUUGCGAAGGCAACUUUCUGGACUGUAACUGACACUGAGGCUCGAAAGUGUGGGUAGCAAACAGGAUUAGAUACCCCGGUAGUC
rnacentral:rRNA from 1 species